AGUCCUGAAGACAGCAUUUGAAGCUACUGCUAUUUGAACUUACCUGGAGACACACAGCCAGCAAGAUGAGCAUCUGGAGCAGAGAGGAAUUUUACUUUAACGGAAGAUAGCGGUGAGGGCUUGAACACUAAGGAAUUAAUGAGAGAUCAGCCCCUUUAGCGACUCAAAGCAUAUUAUAACUCCAGCUGGUCAAAAAGAGAGGAAAUAAAUAAUAUAACAGGAACAACUGGAAGAGCAAGUGCAGCAUCAGGUUGGUGCAUUUCUUCUGAUCAAAAGGUCGAAUUGCAACUGGUCUUUGAAGAGUGUGCUGGUGACAGUGUGCAACCUUUGCAGUAGCUCCUGGACUGGCCCUAGACUGCUGUCAAAUUAAACCAGCACUGUAAAGAAGAGAGCAAGUUGAAUGAAGUUGAAUGAAGGGGCAUCUUAAUUCCAAUCCUGGCUCUAAUGCUGACUGUAAGCAUGACCCCGGAUGAGUUAUUCACUCUCUCAGUCUCAGUCUCCUCAUCCACAAAGCAGGGAUCACAAUAAAUGAAUAGCACCUUUCACAGAACCCACCAUAUAUACUGAGUGUUCAAUAAAUACCGUGUUCAUCAUCUAACAUCAUAACACAUUGAGCAUCCAUCAAAGCAGAAGUAGUUCGCACCUGGAUAUUUCUGUUUCUUUUUUUUUUUUUGCUAUCCUACUGGUGUUUUACUUAAAUUUAGUGUGGUAAUAUGAAAGAAAAUUACUGCUCUUCUGCUAUUUAGUUAGCAUUUUUAUGCUUUUUAAAAAAUAUUGCAAUAAAAUUAAUAAAAUUUGAAUUCAGUCUUUCCUAUUUAACUAAUAUUAUCUAAAAAUAACUACCUCCCAGGACCACAUUAUACAACAACAUAUAGUAGCUACCUAGGGGCAGCUAUCUUAAUUGUUGAGAAAAUUCUACAAAGAAAGUACCUUCUUCUGGACAUCAUACCUAUUCAUAUUGCCAGUGUCAGGGAUGUUUACCAUGGUUAUGGUAUGGUAAUAACAUGAUACUGAUCAUCAGUACGCAGCAAAUGAACAUACUUUCUCAAUUCUAAUAAAGCAUCAAUUGGGACACACAGGC
rnacentral:lncRNA from 10 species